CAUAGAGGUACAACUAUACCAUUCCUCAGCAUUUAAAAAAUCUAGUCUCACUUCCUAAAGACUAUACUCUGUAAGAGUGGAAAUGGUCACAUAAUUUUGUACUUUUCUACAACACUUAGCAAAAGUGAUGGGCAUAAAGCAGGUAUUUGAUUUAUACAUAAUAAAUAAAUCAAUUUGAUAUGUUAUAUACUUUUCUAACAAAUAGUUGCAAAGAACUUACUAGGGGCAAGGCACUGUGCCAGGUACCCUGAGAGACCAAACUACAUUCUCUUGCACAUCAGGAACUCAGUCUAGUAUUAAAGAUAAGAUACAUACAUGUGACGCACUGAGUGCAUCUAUGAUGUCAUAUGUAGGAGUCACAAAGUAUAAAGUGCUACAAAAGUCCAAAGCAAGGGUGAACAAUUCUAGGCUGAAAAAUCUGAAGGCACAUUAAAGGGAGAAAGAUCAGAAUCAGGCUUCAAAGGACACAGAGAAUUUAGGCCCUUACGGAAUAAAAUAAAAUACAUAAUGCACUCUAGAAGGGAACCAUCCUGGAAGGUAAGGUAAAGAUUAUGGCACGAAUAUGCCACAGUCAUAUCCUGACCCCUCAGUCUAAAAUCCUAGAUAAACUCUGCAACAAUACAUUUUACUCUCUUGUGGAAACUGUGAAUUUUGUAUACUUCCCUCCUGCUUAGUAAAGCAGUCAAUUAUUCAUUUAAGAAUUUAUUUUGAAUGCUUAUCUGAUAAGGCUUGAAACUAUAUCUUAACUUCUACUCUUAACUUCAGUGUUGAUUUCUCAAAAAAAAUUUUUUUUUUCUUCUGAGACAAAGUCUCACUCUGGUCAUCCAGGCUGGAAUACAAUGGCAGGAUCUCAGCUCACCACAACCUCCGACUCCUGGGCUCAAGCGAUCCUCCCUGUCAGCCUCCUGAGUAGCUGGGACCACAGGUGCAUGCCACCAUGCCUGGCUAAUUUUUAUAUAUUUUUUUGGAGAGACAGGGUUUCACCAUGUUGCCUGGGAUGGUCUCAAACUCCUGGGCUCAAGCAAUCCACCUGCCUUGGCCUCUCAGCAUGCUGAGAUUAUAGAUGCGAGCCACUGCACCUGGCCAAUUUCUCACAUUUUCAAAGUAAAAGCACAGAAGCCCCUUGAAAAAGAAUAGAAGCAAUCACUUAUAAGCAAAGUGAGUAUUCUUAACUAAAACUGAGAACUUUUUCCAAGUGCUGGUUCAUCUCCUCAAGGCUUACAUGUUUCUCUAGUAUAUGAUCCAGAUAAAAAUAUUUUUAAUUACUUAAUCAUUUUUCUCUCGAUACCAGAGGAAAAAGUCUCCUGAAAGGAGAAAUGGAAAUAUUUAAUAGUGAAGGAUAUACUUAAUUUAUACCAGGUUCCCUUUUAAUUCUUAGGGUUCAUCUAUACCAACAGAACUAGAGCAAGAUACACUGAGCACCCAGUUUUGUGACGACUGUUCCUGCAAGAGCUUCAAUCUGCUUGAAGGCCUUUAUCCUGCCCCUAUAUCUCUAAUAUUGAGGUGAAGAGGCAGAGAGAAGGGGAAUUAACCUUUCCAGAGCUCUGUUCAGGGCAGUGUGUUGGCACCUGACAAAUCCUCCCAUUCAGUACUCUGCCAGAAUCCUAAAUUCUGGGAGGCAGAAAUUACAAUCUCCAUUUUACAAGUGAAGUACAUGGCUUAGGAGAGGUUAAGGAACCUACGGGCUAGAAUUUGAACUCUGAUCUUACCCUGAAGUUUGUGUUCUUUCUGCCUCUCCUCCUGGGUGCUUACCACUCAGUGGCAGGCACUCGAAGCAUUUUAGCUGCAUAAAUAAGAUAGGCACUUAAUUAGCUGGCCUAGGAUAUCACACAGGUCUUUCCCAGCUCUAGCAGUGAGUGACUGACUCAACUCUGGGAAAACAGCUUCUUCACUUAAGCCUCACAGGAGGAACAUAUCGGGGAAGGGAAGGAAGGGCAGUUGUAAGGAUACCUAUGCUUCCAUCACUAGCCCAUCUUAACAGUACAUAGGAAAUAGCCUGAACUAGAUAUACACAAAUAGAAUGCACCAAACAACAAAGAAAUUACAUCAAAAAGAAACUGGAAAGAACAAUCUUUACCAUUUAUUGAAUAAUAAUUAUAUGCUAGGUUCUAUGCUAAGAAUAUUAUAUAUACUACCUUACUGAAUUCUUAAAACUAUUAUUGUUCCACAGGACAAAGGAGGAAACCGAAGUUUGGAGUGGUCAAGUAACUUGCCCAAGCCCAUACAGCUGCUAAAUGCUGGUGUUGUAACAAACCCAAGCCUACUGGCUCUUGACCACUUUGUUUCUACUGUGUCCAUUAUUAUGAAACCUGGUUUUCUUCCAGCUUCCCUCUGGAGUAGCCCAGACAAAAAACAAUGGUUCCUGAGAUGGAGUACAAUGAGAAUGGGGCUAUGAGGGCCGACUGAUCUGAAAGUCAUGAGCGAAUCUUCACCAUGGUAAAGGGAAUUUGCAGAAGCUGCCGUUCAUACUUAAGAGACGGGGUUUCACCAUUUCGACCAGGAUGGUCUCAUCUCCUGACCUCGUGAUCCACCCGCCUCGGCCUCCCAAACUGCUGGGAUUACAGACGUGAGCCACCGCGCCCGGCCGUGAAUACCUUCUAUGUGUGAAGCAGCACACCAAGAUGAUAGAUGAAUCCUUAAAAGGAGCUUGGAGCUUGGUCAGUAGUGGACAUAAGAGCGAAACGUAGAACAUGGAGAGCAGUAUUUACCAAAUCGUAUUCUGGAGAACUAUGUUAAUUAGUGUUAUAAGAAAGCAAAACAAUUAGGUUCGGGAAACACUGAAUCUAACGCCCUAGAUGGAUUUCUCCAUUGCAGGACUUUCUGUGCCUCCAAUAUGUUACUUGUGAAUCUCCAGGAGGGAGGGUAAAGUAUGAUGCAUUUACCAAAUUUACUUGACUACAGAAUUCUAUGUAAUGAGCAUCUUUCAGGACUAAGCAGGCCAAGGCACACUUUUAGGAAUGUUGGGGUAUAACUGAUAAGAAAACAGUAAGAAAUUCUGAAAAUUAAAUCAUAACAUUUGGCUUGAAGAAACCAGGUCAGAUUUUGUAAAGGUGACAUUUUGAGUUCAGAAAUUAGAAAUACAGCAUCAGAGAUAACUGAAUUUUAUAAUGAUCUAUGCAGGAAGUCUCAGACUCUUCAAUCCUCAAAGAUUGGAAGUCAUUACCUGACUGAGAAGCAGGGCGAGGAGUCCUGGGCUGCAGCUCUGGAUUGGGGCCUGGUGCCAUCAUGGAAGACGACACAUUUCCACCUGGGGGUAUCAUAACAGUGGCAGGGUUGUUCAUCCUUAUUAUUCCUAGAAAAAAAAAUCCCUAGAAUAGAGUACUGGUAUUGGCACGAUUUUUGUUUUUUAGUGAACUAUUUCAAGAAUACAAAAAGAUAAGGGAAAUUUCUUUUUUUUUUUGACAGGGUCUCACUCUGUUGCCCAGUCUGCCAAGCGACACAAUCACAGCUCACUGCCACCUCGACUUCCCAGGCCCAAGUGAUCCUUCUGAGGCAGCCUCCCAAGUAGCUGGGACUACAGGCAUGUGGUACUGGGACCACAGGCACACACCACUGUGCCCAGCUAAUCAUUCUAUAUUUUAUAGAGAUGGGGUCACUAUGUUGCCUAGGUUGGUCUUGAAGUCCUGGGCUCAAGUGAUCCUCCCUCCCAAAGUGCUGGGAUUACAGGUGUGAUCUACCAUACCUGGCCUGGAAAUAUCUACACCCAUCAUCUCCCUUUUUAAAAUCUAAAAAAUUUGCUCUUAUCUCCUUCAGAUAUAUAAUGUAGAUAGAGCAGAAGCCCCUGCUCCUUCCAUUCUACUUUCUCCCUCCUAUUGCAAUUGGGGUUAACAACAGUUCCAUGCAUGUUUAUUAACCUUUUCUGUAUCUGUAGGUAAACUGCACUUUUUCUGUAGGUAAACAGCAUUUUUUAUAUGCUUUUAAUCUUUGUAUAAAUGGUACUUUAUGCAUUCUUCAUCAGCUUCCUUUUUUACUUAAUGUCAUUUUUUGAGAUUAUCUCUCUCGGCUGUUACAAGGGCUCCACUGUAGAACCAUAUAGCUAC